rnacentral:rRNA from 1 species
UACGGAGGAUCCGAGCGUUAUCCGGAUUUAUUGGGUUUAAAGGGUGCGUAGGCGGGUUAUCAAGUCAGCGGUAAAAUCGUGGGGCUCAACCCCAUCCAGCCGUUGAAACUGGGGAUCUAGAGUGUGCGAGAGGUAUGCGGAAUGCGUGGUGUAGCGGUGAAAUGCAUAGAUAUCACGCAGAACCCCGAUUGCGAAGGCAGCAUACCGGCGCUCAACUGACGCUGAGGCACGAAAGCGUGGGGAUCGAACAGG